AUUGAACGCUGGCGGCAGGCCUAACACAUGCAAGUCGAGCGAGCGGCGGACGGGUGAGUAAUGUCUGGGAAACUGCCUGAUGGAGGGGGAUAACUACUGGAAACGGUAGCUAAUACCGCAUACCAUCAGAUGUGCCCAGAUGGGAUUAGCUAGUAGGUGGGGUAACGGCUCACCUAGGCGACGAUCCCUAGCUGGUCUGAGAGGAUGACCAGCCAAGUUGGAAUGGAGACAGGGUCCAGAUCCCUACGGGGGGCAGCAGUGGGGAAUUUGGCACAAGGGGCGCAGGCCGGAUGCAGCCAUGCCGGGUGUGUGAAGAAGGCCUUCGGGUUGUAAAGCACUUUCAGCGGGGAGGCGUUACCCGCAGAAGAAGCACCGGCUAACUCCGUGCCAGCAGCGCGGUAAUAC
rnacentral:rRNA from 1 species